rnacentral:misc_RNA from 1 species
UUAUCUCUAUAGUUGAAAGAGCGUAAAAUAGAAAAAUAAAAAGUGAGAAGAGAAAUUUUUUUUCUUCCAAAAUCUCUCUCAAAACAUAUAGUUCAAUCCCUUUUAUUCUCCCCUCUACCUUCUCUCCCUUGCCCAAUGCCACUUUCACCUUGGCCUUCAUUUUUGACCCAUCACACUCAAACCUUAACUCUCAUCUGCACGCCAACAAUUCCAUCUGAACCGAGCUCCAUUAUCGAUUACGCUCGUAAAUACCGUUGGCUAGCCGCUCAUCACAUAGUCACCGACAGCACCCCAAAAAUCCAUGAUAGCCAAGUUUAUCGUGGACCCAUUUCUGCUCAUCCCCCUUGGCUCACAGUAGCACUCCAUCCUCAUUUCAUUCUCACUCCACAUGUCUACAUAGCCCAUUCCACUACAAAACUAUCGUGAAACCCAUUUUCUCAAUUUCUCCUUCAUACCCAGUAGAGUAACACACAUAGAAUCUCGUCCUCAUUGCAGUACCACUACUAGUGCACAAAAGAACGAAGGAAAGAGGCUACCAUCCUAUCAUAUUGGAAGUCUGGGUAUCAAUUUGCUGCAAUUCAAAGAGCUGUCUGAAUUACCGAUGUUGUUUUCUUCGAAUAGCUAGCUAUUCAUAUCCCUUAUCCAGAAAUUAGAGGUGCUCUCAAGUAUUUUAUACGUAAAAUCUCGUGCUAGGCUAAAAUAUCAAUUUGGAUGUCAUUAUGUAGUUCUUAUGAUUUCUUAUAAUUGAACUCUUUUGUUGCAAUUGGGUAUUUAAUGAUGCGAAUCCAAAUCCUUUACCUGACAAUGUGAACAUCAAUUAGGUUUUGGUGAAGGCUUUCUUGAUGUUGUGGGUUAUUGUUUCUUAAUAAUUUUUUUAACCCGUUCUUAGAUUACAUUUUGUCUCUGUGGUAGUUCAUUUGCUGUUUCAAUAAAACUCUUUUUGCUAGAUUAAAA